AAUACUUAGGAAUCUGCCCAUUAAUGGGGGACAACAGUUGGAAACGACUGCUAAUACCGCAUACGCCCUACGGGGGAAAGCAGGGGAUCUUCGGACCUUGCGUUAAUGGAUGAGCCUAAGUCGGAUUAGCUAGUUGGUGGGGUAAAGGCCUACCAAGGCGACGAUCUGUAGCGGGUCUGAGAGGAUGAUCCGCCACACUGGGACUGAGACACGGCCCAGACUCCUACGGGAGGCAGCAGUGGGGAAUAUUGGACAAUGGGGGGAACCCUGAUCCAGCCAUGCCGCGUGUGUGAAGAAGGCCUUUUGGUUGUAAAGCACUUUAAGCGAGGAGGAGGCUACUAGUAUUAAUACUACUGGAUAGUGGACGUUACUCGCGGAAUAGGCACCGGCUAACUCUGUGCCAGCAGCCGCGGUAAUACAGAGGGUGCGAGCGUUAAUCGGAUUUACUGGGCGUAAAGCGUGCGUAGGUGGCCAAUUAAGUCAAAUGUGAAAUCCCCGAGCUUAACUUGGGAAUUGCAUUCGAUACUGGUUGGCUAGAGUAUGGGAGAGGAUGGUAGAAUUCCAGGUGUAGCGGUGAAAUGCGUAGAGACCUGGAGG
rnacentral:rRNA from 1 species